rnacentral:tRNA from 1 species
GGCCACGUAGCAUAAUGGGAAUGCAAACGACUGAAGCUCGUUGUAAGAGGGUUCGAUUCCCCCCGUGGCCA